AUGUACACAAAGGAGCCUGUUCUUUUCUGGGGAAGUUAUUUUCUGUUCCUAAAGUGCCCAAGUGCCCAAGACUUGAUGAAAUAUACACUCAGAUUCAGUGAGUUGCAAAAAUCCAACUUGCUUUUUCUCUGCCGGAUAUCUUUCCUUCUGAACACCAAGCCCUUUAGGAGUGGGAAGGCAGAACCUCCUAGGGAAACUGAAUUUAGCAAAAUAGGUGCUUCGAGAAGCCUCGGGAACCCAGUGCAAGUGCCCUUAUUACAGAAACCUGACAAGACAGCUGCUGAAACACACACUUAGAAAUCUUUGUUUAGAAAUAAAUUCUAAAUGAAGCCUUUGAAGACUAAAUAU
rnacentral:lncRNA from 1 species